rnacentral:rRNA from 1 species
AUUGAACGCUGGCGGCAGGCCUAACCCAUGCAAGUCGAGCGGAGCGGAGGAGGGGGGAGGAAAGAAGAGGAAGCUGCCUGGUAGUGGGGGAUAACGUCCGGAAACGGGCGCUAAUACAGGAUACUAUCAGAUGAGCCUAGGUCGGAGGAGCUAGUUGGUGGGGUAAAGGCCUACAAAGGCGACGAUCCGUAACUGGUCUGAGAGGAUGAUCAGUCACACUGGAACUGAUACACGGUCCAGACUCCUACGGGAGGCAGCAGUGGGGAAUAUUGGACAAUGGGCGAAAGCCUGAUCCAGCCAUUCCUCGUGUGUGAAGAAGGUCUUCGGAUUGUAAAGCACUUUCAGUUGGGGGGCGUUACCAACAGAAUCAGCACCGUCUAACUUCGUGAAAGCCGCCGCGUUAAUUC